UUGAUCCUGGCUCAGGAUGAACGCUAGCUACAGGCUUAACACAUGCAAGUCGAGGGGCAGCAUUGGGGUAGCAAUACUUCAGAUGGCGACCGGCGCACGGGUGAGUAACACGUAUCCAACCUGCCGCUUACUCGGGGAUAGCCUUUCGAAAGAAAGAUUAAUACCCGAUAGUAUAAAGAGUUCGCAUGUUCUCUUUAUUAAAGAAUUUCGGUAAGCGAUGGGAUGCGUUCCAUUAGAUAGUUGGCGGGGUAACGGCCCACCAAGUCUACGAUGGAUAGGGGUUCUGAGAGGAAGGUCCCCCACGUUGGAACUGAGACACGGUCCAAACUCCUACGGGAGGCAGCAGUGAGGAAUAUUGGUCAAUGGGCGAGAGCCUGAACCAGCCAAGUAGCGUGAAGGAUGACUGCCCUAUGGGUUGUAAACUUCUUUUAUAAGGGAAUAAAGUGAGGGACGUGUCCCUUUUUGUAUGUACCUUAUGAAUAAGGAUCGGCUAACUCCGUGCCAGCAGCCGCGGUAAUACGGAGGAUCCAAGCGUUAUCCGGAUUUAUUGGGUUUAAAGGGAGCGUAGGUUGACAUAUAAGUCAGCUGUGAAAGUUUACGGCUCAACCGUGAAAUUGCAGUUGAUACUGUAUGUCUUGAGUGUACAAGAGGUGGGCGGAAUUCGUGGUGUAGCGGUGAAAUGCUUAGAUAUCACGAAGAACUCCAAUUGCGAGGGCAGCUCACUGGGGUACAACUGACACUGAGGCUCGAAAGUGUGGGUAUCAAACAGGAUUAGAUACCCUGGUAGCCCACACAGUAAACGAUGAAUACUCGCUGUUUGCGAUAUACAGUAAGCGGCCAAGCGAAAGCAUUAAGUAUUCCACCUGGGGAGUACGCCGGCAACGGUGAAACUCAAAGGAAUUGACGGGGGCCCGCACAAGCGGAGGAACAUGUGGUUUAAUUCGAUGAUACGCGAGGAACCUUACCCGGGCUUGAAUUGCAGAGGAAUAUAGUUGAAAGAUUAUAGCCGCAAGGCCUCUGUGAGAGUGCUGCAUGGUUGUCGUCAGCUCGUGCCGUGAGGUGUCGGCUUAAGUGCCAUAACGAGCGCAACCCUUAUCAUUAGUUACUAACAGGUCAUGCUGAGGACUCUAGUGAGACUGCCGUCGUAAGAUGUGAGGAAGGUGG
rnacentral:rRNA from 1 species